CCGGGCGCAGCUGUUAGAGGAGUGAAGUGCACCGCCAUCGCAGCCAUGUCAUCCCGCAAAGAUCUCCGUUACACCGCCAGUGCUUUCUGCUAAAACGCCUCCCCGUUAGCGAUUCUCACGUACGAGGGGUCUCUUCCUUUUUAAAUACAAGGCCAGCGAUGCCCUCACCAGCCUCUCUCUCUUAGAACGAUCUGCUGCAUAAAAAGCCUGGUUACUAUUCAAUUUCGCACCGUCCACGUUGAGGUUGAUCAAUGAGGCAACUUCGGGAACGGGGCAAGUUCAGCGCUGCUGCGGACACGGAGCGGCGGAGCCCCGUAACCUGCGGGCUGAUCAUAUAUCCCGCGAAGGCGGCAUUCAUCUCUGUACACGAUGGCAGCAUUUUGGGGGUUUAAAAUAAAACUACGGGGACGUUUCACGUA